UACGGGGGGAGCAAGCGUUGUUCGGAUUUACUGGGCGUAAAGGGCGCGUAGGCGGCCACCGCAAGUCGACUGUGAAAUCUCCGGGCUUAACCCGGAAAGGUCAGCCGAUACUGCGGGGCUAGAGUGCAGAAGGGGCAACUGGAAUUCUCGGUGUAGCGGUGAAAUGCGUAGAUAUCGGGAGGAACACCUGUGGCGAAGGCGGCCCCCUGGUUCGGAUACUGACGCUGAUACGCGAAAGCGUGGGGAGC
rnacentral:rRNA from 1 species